rnacentral:rRNA from 1 species
GGGACACGUGGUAUCCUGUCUGAAUAUGGGGGGACCAUCCUCCAAGGCUAAAUACUCCUGACUGACCGAUAGUGAACCAGUACCGUGAGGGAAAGGCGAAAAGAACCCCGGCGAGGGGAGUGAAAAAGAACCUGAAACCGUGUACGUACAAGCAGUGGGAGCACAGAGCAAUCUGUGUGACUGCGUACCUUUUGUAUAAUGGGUCAGCGACUUAUAUUCUGUAGCAAGGUUAACCGAAUAGGGGAGCCGAAGGGAAACCGAGUCUUAACUGGGCGUUAAGUUGCAGGGUAUAGACCCGAAACCCGGUGAUCUAGCCAUGGGCAGGUUGAAGGUUGGGUAACACUAACUGGAGGACCGAACCGACUAAUGUUGAAAAAUUAGCGGAUGACUUGUGGCUGGGGGUGAAAGGCCAAUCAAACCGGGAGAUAGCUGGUUCUCCCCGAAAGCUAUUUAGGUAGCGCCUCGUGAAUUCAUCUCCGGGGGUAGAGCACUGUUUCGGCAAGGGGGUCAUCCCGACUUACCAACCCGAUGCAAACUGCGAAUACCGGAGAAUGUUAUCACGGGAGACACACGGCGGGUGCUAACGUCCGUCGUGAAGAGGGAAACAACCCAGACCGCCAGCUAAGGUCCCAAAGUCAUGGUUAAGUGGGAAACGAUGUGGGAAGGCCCAGACAGCCAGGAUGUUGGCUUAGAAGCAGCCAUCAUUUAAAGAAAGCGUAAUAGCUCACUGGUCGAGUCGGCCUGCGCGGAAGAUGUAACGGGGCUAAACCAUGCACCGAAGCUGCGGCAGCGACGCUUAUGCGUUGUUGGGUAGGGGAGCGUUCUGUAAGCCUGUGAAGGUGUGCUGUGAGGCAUGCUGGAGGUAUCAGAAGUGCGAAUGCUGACAUAAGUAACGAUAAAGCGGGUGAAAAGCCCGCUCGCCGGAAGACCAAGGGUUCCUGUCCAACGUUAAUCGGGGCAGGGUG